rnacentral:rRNA from 1 species
UACGGAGGGUGCAAGCGUUGUUCGGAAUUAUUGGGCGUAAAGCGCGUGUAGGCGGUUUUCUAAGUCUGAUGUGAAAGCCCCGGGCUUAACCUGGGAAGUGCAUUGGAAACUGGAAGACUUGAGUACGGGAGAGGAAAGCGGAAUUCCGAGUGUAGGGGUGAAAUCCGUAGAUAUUCGGAGGAACAUCGGUGGCGAAGGCGGCUUUCUGGACCGAUACUGACGCUGAGACGCGAGAGCGUGGGGAGCGAACAGG